rnacentral:rRNA from 1 species
CCUACGGGAGGCAGCAGUGAGGAAUAUUGGUCAAUGGGCGUAAGCCUGAACCAGCCAAGUCGCGUGAGGGAUGAAGGUUCUAUGGAUCGUAAACCUCUUUUAUAAGGGAAUAAAGUGUGGGACGUGUCCUAUUUUGUAUGUACCUUAUGAAUAAGGAUCGGCUAACUCCGUGCCAGCAGCCGCGGUAAUACGGUGGAUCCGAGCGUUAUCCGGAUUUAUUGGGUUUAAAGGGUGCGUAGGCGGCCUUUUAAGUUAGGGGUGAAAGCAUGUGGCUCAACCAUGGAAUUGCCGUUGAAACUGGGGGGCUUGAGUAUGUUAGAGGCAGGCGGAAUGCGUGGUGUAGCGGUGAAAUGCUUAGAUAUGACGCAGAACCCCGAUGGCGAAGGCAGCCUGCCAAGCCAUGACUGACGCUGAUGCACGAAAGCGUGGGGAACAAACAGGAUUAGAUACCCGGGUAGUC